rnacentral:rRNA from 1 species
GACGAACGCUGGCGGCGUGCUUAACACAUGCAAGUCGAACGGAAAGUCCCUGCUUUAGUGGGGUGCCCGAGUGGCGAACGUGUGAGUAACGCGUGAGUAACCUGCCCUUGACUUUGGGAUAACUUCAGGAAACUGGGAGUAAUACCCGAUAGGUGCUCCUGCUGCAUGGCGGGGCAUGGAAAGUUUCGGCGGUUGGGGAUGGACUCGCGGCGUAUCAGCUUGCUGGGGGGGUAGUGGCUUACCAAGGCUUUGCCAGGUAGCCGGCCUGAGGGGGUGAGCGGCCACAUUAGGACUGAGAUGCGGCCCAGACUCCUACGGGAGGCAGCGGUGGGGAAGAGUGUACAAUGGGCGGAAGCCUGAUGCAGCGACGCGGCGUGCGGGAAGACGGGCAGCGGGUUGUAAACCGCUGUCGCCUGUGACGAAGCGUGAGUGACGGUAACGGGUAAAGAAGCACCGGCUAACUACGUG